rnacentral:rRNA from 1 species
AGCUCCAAGAGCGUAUAUUAAAGUUGUUGCGGUUAAAAAGCUCGUAGUCGAAUUUCUGCUGAGACUGGCAGGUCCGCCCCCUGGGUGUGUAUCUUGCUUUGUCUCGGCAUCUUCGUGGGGAACGUUCUGCACUUGAUUGUGUGGAGCGGUUGCCGCGACGUUUACCUUGAGGAAAUUAGAGUGUUUCAAGCAGGCAUUCGCCUUGAAUACAUUAGCAUGGGAUUAUAAGAUAGGACUUUUGUGUUAUUUUGUUGGUUUGCCACGAAAGUAAUGAUUAAAAGGGAUGGUUGGGGGUAUUCGUAUUUAGUUGUCAGAGGUGAAAUUCUUGGAUUUACGAAAGACGAACUACUGCGAAAGCAUUUACCAAGGAUGUUU